rnacentral:rRNA from 1 species
CACGUAGGGUCCGAGCGUUGUCCGGAAUUACUGGGCGUAAAGCGUGCGCAGGCGGUUGGGUCAGUCGCUGGUGAAAGCCCCACGCUCAACGUGGGAAUGGCCAACGAGACGGCCCGACUGGAGGCAGGGAGAGGCCGGUGGAAUUCCGGGUGUAGUGGUGAAAUUCGUAGAUAUUAGGAAGAACACCAGUGGCGAAGGCGGCUCACUGGUCCGGUACUGACGCUGAGGUGCGAAAGCGUGGGGAGCAAACAGG